rnacentral:rRNA from 1 species
UACGUAGGGGGGCAAGCGUUGUCCGGAUUUAUUGGGCGUAAAGAGCGUGUAGGCGGCUAUACAGGUCCGCUGUGAAAACUCGAGGCUCAACCUCGAGACGUCGGUGGAAACCGUAUGGCUAGAGUCCGGAAGAGGGAGAGUGGAAUUCCUGGUGUAGCGGUGAAAUGCGCAGAUAUCAGGAAGAACACCCGUGGCGAAGGCGGCU